GUGCUUGCAUCAUGCAUUUACAUUUGAGUGAGUGGCGAACUGGUGAGUAACACGUGGGAAACCUGCCCAGAAGCGGGGGAUAACACCUGGAAACAGAUGCUAAUACCGCAUAACAACUUGGACCGCAUGGUCCGAGCUUGAAAGAUGGCUUCGGCUAUCACUUUUGGAUGGUCCCGCGGCGUAUUAGCUAGAUGGUGGGGUAACGGCUCACCAUGGCAAUGAUACGUAGCCGACCUGAGAGGGUAAUCGGCCACAUUGGGACUGAGACACGGCCCAAACUCCUACGGGAGGCAGCAGUAGGGAAUCUUCCACAAUGGACGAAAGUCUGAUGGAGCAACGCCGCGUGAGUGAAGAAGGGUUUCGGCUCGUAAAACUCUGUUGUUAAAGAAGAACAUAUCUGAGAGUAACUGUUCAGGUAUUGACGGUAUUUAACCAGAAAGCCACGGCUAACUACGUGCCAGCAGCCGCGGUAAUACGUAGGUGGCAAGCGUUGUCCGGAUUUAUUGGGCGUAAAGCGAGCGCAGGCGGUUUUUUAAGUCUGAUGUGAAAGCCUUCGGCUCAACCGAAGAAGUGCAUCGGAAACUGGGAAACUUGAGUGCAGAAGAGGACAGUGGAACUCCAUGUGUAGCGGUGAAAUGCGUAGAUAUAUGGAAGAACACCAGUGGCGAAGGCGGCUGUCUGGUCUGUAACUGACGCUGAGGCUCGAAAGUAUGGGUAGCAAACAGGAUUAGAUACCCUGGUAGUCCAUACCGUAAACGAUGAAUGCUAAGUGUUGGAGGGUUUCCGCCCUUCAGUGCUGCAGCUAACGCAUUAAGCAUUCCGCCUGGGGAGUACGGCCGCAAGGCUGAAACUCAAAGGAAUUGACGGGGGCCCGCACAAGCGGUGGAGCAUGUGGUUUAAUUCGAAGCUACGCGAAGAACCUUACCAGGUCUUGACAUACUAUGCAAAUCUAAGAGAUUAGACGUUCCCUUCGGGGACAUGGAUACAGGUGGUGCAUGGUUGUCGUCAGCUCGUGUCGUGAGAUGUUGGGUUAAGUCCCGCAACGAGCGCAACCCUUAUUAUCAGUUGCCAGCAUUAAGUUGGGCACUCUGGUGAGACUGCCGGUGACAAACCGGAGGAAGGUGGGGAUGACGUCAAAUCAUCAUGCCCCUUAUGACCUGGGCUACACACGUGCUACAAUGGAUGGUACAACGAGUUGCGAACUCGCGAGAGUAAGCUAAUCUCUUAAAGCCAUUCUCAGUUCGGAUUGUAGGCUGCAACUCGCCUACAUGAAGUCGGAAUCGCUAGUAAUCGCGGAUCAGCAUGCCGCGGUGAAUACGUUCCCGGGCCUUGUACACACCGCCCGUCACACCAUGAGAGUUUGUAACACCCAAAGUGC
rnacentral:rRNA from 2 species